UACGGGGGGGGCAAGCGUUGUUCGGAAUUACUGGGCGUAAAGGGCUCGUAGGCGGCCAACUAAGUCCGACGUGAAAUCCCCAAGCUUAACUUGGGAACUGCGUCGGAUACUGGAUGGCUUGAAUUCGGGAGAGGGAUGCAGAAUUCCAGGUGUAGCGGUGGAAUGCGCAGAUAUCAGGAGGAACACCAAUAGCGAAGGCAGCUCGCUGGGACGGUAUUGACGCUAAGGCGCGAAAGCGUGGGGAGCAAACAGG
rnacentral:rRNA from 1 species